CUUCUCUUCCUCCCUCUCUCUCUGCCUUUCUCGCUCGCUUGUUGCGCGUAGCUUGCUUCCCUUCCUCUGUUGUGCGAGGCCAAGCUGAGCACGAAGGGAGGAGAGGCGGCUGUACUGUAGUCUGUAGAAGAAGGCCACGGAAGCGAGAGCUUGGUGACUGGCAGUUGGCCUUUUCCUACCUACUGGACCUGCAGUACUUUCAACAUGCUUUUUGCCUAUGGCUGCAUUAAGGAUGAAUAAAAUGUUAAGCAUCAACUGUUUAGGGACGCAGGAGCUUCAUACAUUUUACAAGACCACUGAAAUAUUGGAAGACUCAACAUCUCAAGAGAUUGCAGUCGACAAAGCAGUGGUGGGGUCAACGCUAAUAUGUCAUCAAGAUGUCUGUUCUACUGCCGAAGUAUCCGGGGGAAACAUUGGAGUCGCUGAAGUUAGCUUAUUGGAAGAUGAAUCUGACACAGCAGUCACCGAUUUACUGCCAGUGUCAUACCUGUCAUGUGGGCCCAGAUCUAUGGUUCCAGUAUCAGUACCGUCAUCAUCUGGCCUUGAAACCAUCCUAUCAGAUGUGAACUACAAUGUUACAGCAAUGGAUGAAAGCACUGAGUUCCUUCACCUGAUUCUUAGUGGCAAUGAUGAAGGCUACAAUACUACAAGUGAAGUGCAAGUUUGGGAUGUUCUGGACUUCUACUUCUCAGAAAGCUUUUCUGAUGUACAAUUUGAUAGCAUAAUGGGUUUUACAAGUGAUGUCGCUCCUUCCUCUCAUGAUUUUAUGAAUAUUGUUGACUUGGUAGAGCGGCCUGUGGCACUCCUGUCUCUGAAUGAGACAGCAGAACCAAAUAAUGCUACCAAUAAGGCUCCAGCCGGCCACAGUACGAUGGAACCUGAUGACACAUCCUUGUAUCUUCAAAUGAAACCAUCAGAUUCAGAAACUGAAAUUACUUCUGCCUCUCAGGAUGUGACAGGAACUGAGUAUGUGGAUCCUAAGCUACUUUCUAGACAUCUGCCUGAUUUGAUGGAUGUUGACUCACCGAAUCGUUUACAAAAAUCACCAGUGAGAACAAAGCAUGUCACCCUUGUGCUUGAUUUGGAUGAGACUCUUGUCCAUUCAACGUUGGAUCACUGUGACAUUGCUGAUUUCACCAUUCAAGUUUUCUUCAAUAUGAAAGAUCAUACAGUCUAUGUGAGACAAAGACCCCACCUGAAGAUGUUCCUUGAGAAGGUUGCACAGAUGUUUGAGCUUGUCAUUUUCACAGCUAGUCAGAAAAUCUAUGCUGAGCAGAUAAUAGAUAGACUCGACCCUGAUGGGAAAUUGAUCUCACAACGUAUUUAUCGUGAGUCGUGUAUAUUCUCUGAUGGGAGCUAUACAAAAGACCUUACAAUUCUGGGAGUCCACUUGGCAAAAGUUGCAAUAAUUGACAAUACGCCGCAGGUUUUCCAGUUGCAAGUGGAUAAUGGUAUACCAAUAAAGAGCUGGUUUGAUGACCCCUCAGAUCAGGAAUUGGUUGAGUUACUCCCGUUCCUAGAGACCCUUGUUGAUGUAGAGGACGUAAGACCAAUAAUCUCAAAGACAUUCCACGGCACACCUCAGCAGGAUUAGAUUUAGAUGCGUCAUCAUCCUGUAUUGAGACUGCGAAUGAACUUAGACCCGCUACAUAAGGCGCACGUCAUUCUUGGGAAACUAGGUUUUCUGCCAGUAACCGCCACUUCGACCGUUUAACAGACAGGACAAUUGUUCGUCGGUUCAUUUUAUUUUUCUUUUGUCACUCAGCUUGCAGACCGAUAUGUUUAAUCACAUGUUUCUGAGGUUUAUAUCUUUCUGAGGUUGCACAUUGAUGACAAACAUCUCUAUACAACAAGAAAAAGGGUUAGUGUUCCUUC